rnacentral:pre_miRNA from 12 species
GUGCACCAUUGUGUAUUAUGGCUUUUUAUUCCUAUGUGAUGGUGAAAAAUGUUCAUGUAGGAACAGAAGCCAUUUUACACGUGGCGAUAC